rnacentral:tRNA from 1 species
GGAGAUUUAACUCAGUGGCACAGCACAAGCCUGGCAAGUGUGGGAUCCUGAGUUCUAUUCCCAGAACCUCCC